UCCCCCCUCUUGCAAGAGCAGACCACAACUUGGAUGAAAUUGGAGGACUAGUUACAGGCCAGCAAUCUCACUGGUGUCUGGAGGGGCCUGAAAACCAUCUCAGGCCAUGACAGCCCAAAGACAUUGACUGAGAAGGACAAGGACUGGGCAGAUGGACUGAACCGUUUUUUCAACCGUUUCGACCAGUUGUCUGUCCCUUCCCCCAACCACCAACUGCAACCACUCUCACUGAGGACUUCUUCUCCUUCCCCUCCUCUUU